rnacentral:lncRNA from 1 species
GUGUCUGCUUUCAUCACAUCGAAUAGUAACCAGUUUUCAAACAGGAUUUCUGGAUUUAUUCCUUGUGGAACAGAGUUAUGUGAAGAUGCUCUGCCAUCAUUACAUGAUAAAAGGGGCAGUGCUAGUCCCUUUGCCUCCUGACACUCCCCAUUAAUUUCCUUUCCAGGGAAUAUGUACAUUCCUCUCACAUUGGCCGGGAUACCUUGCUCGUUUAUUCUUGGUCGGAAAAUUAAAAUAAAAAUGCACUUGGCACAUUUUGUGUCACAGCACAGAUGUGGGUUUCCUUGUUGGUUUAUUGUUUAUUGCCCAGGAGGACUUUGAUCUCACAAGCUGAAGAUGAUAAGCACAUUUUAUAGUUUGUGGGUUGCUCUCAGAGGCUCAUUCCAGUCUUGUUCUUGGUGAAGCAUUUGUCAGGAUAACAACAAACCUGUGAGAUGGCAAAUGAAAUGGUUCUUUGCUAGUGUUCUAUAUGAGAAGCAACCAUCUGGUUUUGCCUUGAGGUGGAUAUUUCUCCUGCAGUGCCCAUGGCUCUCUCCAGAGCUCUGGUUUUCACCGUGGCUGGCUGGGUUGUGUUCCUCUCUCUCGAUGCACAACAAAUCACCACUAUCAACUGUGAUGUACCACCCAGGCCACUGGAGCUCUCAAGCUUUUUGGAUGAAUAUACAGGUGUUAUAGAAUGGAUUACAGAUAUCCCACCCAAUGUGCGUCUGACAUUACAAGAAUUUGUAUUCCCUGAACACUUGGAUUAUGUAGAGCUGAUAACUGAUUCUCAAUCUAGCAAUGCAACAGUGAGAACCAAAAAGCCACUG